rnacentral:hammerhead_ribozyme from 1 species
AUCCGGCUGGUUAGUCCCAAAUAGAACGAAACGCAUGUCCUGGAU